UAUCCCGUAAUUUUAUACGUCGAGUUAUUCGCAAGAGAAUCGACUCAAGUUAAAGAUGGGAUCAUUUUCGGGCACGAAACAGAAAUCUUUAAUUUCCGGUCUCUAUUAGAAAAUGAAUUGCUUAUGAAUUUUACUUAGUGUAAAAAUAUUAAUGGAAAGUUGGGAUUAAUUUACCAUGAUUAGAUUAUUAAGUGGGGAUUAGUGAUUAAUUAAUCUAAUUAUCGAAAAGUUGGCCCCACGACACGUGGCGAGAUUUGGUUGGACUUGAAUAAAGAUGGACACAUGUCAUGAAAAUUGACACAUGUCCACUUUGUAAAGAUAAUAUAUAAGUAUAAGUGGAUGACUAAGUCAUCACAUAUUCCACAAAUUAAUCUUGCAAAUUAGGUUUUAGAGAGAAGGGCUCUCAAGCCUAGAGAGAGAAAGAAGUUCCCGCGCGCACUAUUCACGGGCGGCGUUACUGUUCACGGCGCACUAUUCACGGCGGCGCUACUGUUCACGCCGCCACUGUUCACGGCCAGCCCGUUUUUGCCCCCUUCUACACAAUUAAUUGGAAAGAUUUGAAGAUUAAGAGGAGGAAAAAGAUGGAGCUCAUGGUAGCCAUGGCAACUCACGACCAUGGCUUUCUUGAAGACAUUUCAUGGUGAAAAAUUAGAGCUUGUCUCUAAGGCCUUGGGGAGCCCGAGACGUAGGUUGGGAUUAACUUUAGUUGGGCAAACUUGGAGCGCGUACGAGGUACAGACGCACAGUUUGGUGAUCUACCCAUUUAGGACACCCUCUUCUGCUGUUUGGAGUGCUCUUCUCAUUUCAGAGCACACAUUUUGGUAUAUAUUCGUUCGCUAUGUAUAUAUGUAUUUGUUCAGGGGCACGGCGGGGCCUUGUCCCGCCAUAUGAUUCGGUUUGUCUGUUUAGAGAUCUGUAGACGUAUUUGUGGGUGUGUGUGCCUACUUCUGUACGGAUGUGUUUGCAUGACUCUAUUCGUUAUGGCAGCCUUGUCGGCUCGCACAUGUAUAUGUUGUUCUGUUGGCCCUGUGUGGCCUUUGUUGGUAUUUGCUGUGUACAGGGUUAUUUUGGAUAGUCCGAAAAACAAAGGAAACUCUGCCGAAAUUUUCUUUGAAAAUCUUAUAAAUUUGAAACACCGCC